AGGAUGAACGCUGGCGGCGUGCCUAAUACAUGCAAGUCGAGCGCCCCUUUAAGAGGUGACAAUCAAUGAUUGUCGGUUCCUAUGGGGAGCGGCGGACGGCUGAGUAACACGUGGGAACAUGCCCCAAAGUGAGGGAUAACGCACCGAAAGGUGUGCUAAUACCGCAUAUGAUCUUCGGAUUAAAGCUUUAUGCGCUUUGGGAGUGGCCUGCGUCCUAUUAGAUAGUUGGUGAGGUAAAGGCUCACCAAGUCAACGAUGGGUAGCUGGUCUGAGAGGAUGACCAGCCAGACUGGAACUGAGACACGGUCCAGACUCCUACGGG
rnacentral:rRNA from 1 species